GGAAAUAGCCCUCCAUCAGACCGUACCCUAAACCGACACAGGUGGACUGGUAGAGAAUACCAAGGCGCUUGAGAGAACCACAUUUAAGGAACUCGGCAAAAUACCUCCGUAAGUUCGCGAGAAGGAGGCCCGGUUUUUACGCAAGUAGAGGCCGGGGGCACAAACCAGGGGGUGGCGACUGUUUACUAAAAACACAGGGCUCUGCGAAGUCGUAAGACGACGUAUAGGGUCUGACGCCUGCCCGGUGCCUGAAGGUUAAAAGGAGGAGUGCAAGCUCCGAAUUGAAGCCCAGGUAAACGGCGGCCGUAACUAUAACGGUCCUAAGGUAGCGAAAUUCCUUGUCGGGUAAGUUCCGACCUGCACGAAUGGCGUAACGACUUCCCCGCUGUCUCAAAUGUGGACUCAGCGAAAUUGAAUUACCGGUCAAGAUGCCGGUUACCCGCGGUUAGACGGAAAGACCCCAUGCACCUUUACUAUAGCUUCGCAUUGGCAUCAGACACAGUAUGUGCAGGAUAGGUGGUAGGCUUUGAAGCGGGGACGCCAGUCCUCGUGGAGCCUCCCUUGAGAUACCACCCUUAUUCUGUUUGAUGUCUAACCGCGGUCCAUUAUCUGGAUCCGGGACCCUGCGUGGUGGGUAGUUUGACUGGGGCGGUCGCCUCCCAAAUUGUAACGGAGGCGCGCGAAGGUUGGCUCAGAGCGGUCGGAAAUCGCUCGUUGAGUGCAAUGGCAGAAGCCAGCCUGACUGCAAGACUGACAAGUCGAGCAGAGUCGAAAGACGGCCAUAGUGAUCCGGUGGUCCCGAGUGGAAGGGCCAUCGCUCAACGGAUAAAAGGUACGCUGGGGAUAACAGGCUGAUGGUGCCCAAGAGUCCAUAUCGACGGCACCGUUUGGCACCUCGAUGUCGGCUCAUCUCAUCCUGGGGCUGGAGCAGGUCCCAAG
rnacentral:rRNA from 1 species